UUGUUCCUUGUUGACGAUAUUUUUGUGUGUAGUUUAAUUAUAUAAGCACUCAUCAAGUUUCAGGAGAAAACGAGUUAGGAUGGAGAAGUUACGCAAUCUUUACCAAUCACUUGAAGUGAAUAGUAACUUUGGUUUUCCGAAGAGGCCAAUGAGUAGUGAUGGCUUCUGGUGAGUAUCGGACUCCGUUCAUAGUGACCCAAUAGCUCGUUUUCCAUGGUCCGACUAUCUUGGACCCAUUGGCGUUGACGGAUUUUGGUUUUGACGCACGAUUUCGAAGAAAAUUGGAUUUUAUCGCAAAGAGGGUUUUGUUCUUUGCUGUUCUUGUGUUGUAAAACUUCUUGUUGCUCCGUUUUGCAUGUGGACCCUCGGGCGAGGACCCUUCUGUGAGAGAUUGUUCACGUCGAGUGACUUUGGCCACAUUUUCGCUAGUUGGAGGGUCUUGGAGGCAAUUGUUGGGUAUAUUUAUUUAUAUGUGUGUGGUUUUGUUGAAUCGAAGAGAAGAUGAGUUCGUCGCGAAUCUGUGACGAAACCAGGUGAAACAAUUUGUGGGUUUGAUGUCUCGGUCAUGCUGAACGCGCUGGUGCAGUUCGUUCGCAAAUCUGACGGACGGAUUUCCUGAUAUUGCGCGGGAUCGCGAAAGGGUCAUAGGUGGCGAAACGAAAGUUUUAUGAAAAGCCCUACAUU
rnacentral:lncRNA from 1 species